rnacentral:rRNA from 1 species
CCUACGGGGGGCAGCAGUGGGGAAUAUUGCACAAUGGGGGAAACCCUGAUGCAGCGACGCCGCGUGAGUGAAGAAGUAAUUCGUUAUGUAAAGCUCUAUCAGCAGGGAAGAAAAUGACGGUACCUGAGUAAGAAGCCCCGGCUAACUACGUGCCAGCAGCCGCGGUAAUACGUAGGGGGCAAGCGUUAUCCGGAUUUACUGGGUGUAAAGGGAGCGUAGACGGUCCUGCAAGCCAGAUGUGAAAGCCCGGGGCUCAACCCCGGGACUGCAUUUGGAACUGUAAGGCUAGAGUGUCGGAGAGGCAGGCGGAAUUCCUAGUGUAGCGGUGAAAUGCGUAGAUAUUAGGAGGAACACCAGUGGCGAAGGCGGCCUGCUGGACGAUGACUGACGUUGAGGCUCGAAAGCGUGGGGAGCAAACAGGAUUAGAUACCCUUGUAGUC